AUUGCACGCUGGCGGCAGGCUUAACACAUGCAAGUCGAGCGAGCGGCGGACGGGUGAGUAAUGUCUGGGAAACUGCCUGAUGGAGGGGGAUAACUACUGGAAACGGUAGCUAAUACCGCAUACCAUCAGAUGUGCCCAGAUGGGAUUAGCUAGUAGGUGGGGUAAUGGCUCACCUACGAUACGAUCCCUAGCUGGUCUGAGAGGAGGACCACGCAGACUGGAACGGAGACACGGUCCAGACUCCUACGAGAGGCAACAGUGGGGAAUAUUGGACAAUGGGCGCAAGCCUGAUGCAGCCAUGCCGCGUGUGUGAAGAAGGCCUUCGGGUUGUAAAGCACUUUCAGCGAGGAGGCGUUACUCGCAGAAGAAGCACCGGCUAACUCCGUGCCAGCAGCCGCGGUAAUAC
rnacentral:rRNA from 1 species